GAUGAACGCUGGCGGCGUGCCUAACACAUGCAAGUCGAGCGAGAAACUUCUGAUCGAUCCUUCGGGAGAGAGAUUAAGUGGACAGCGGCGGACGGGUGAGUAACGCGUGGGAAACCUGCCCUAUACAAGGGGAUAGCCUCGGGAAACCGGGAUUAAUACCCUAUAAAACUCUAGCACCGCAUGGUGCAUGAGUCAAAACUCCGGUGGUAUAGGAUGGUCCCGCGUCCCAUUAGCUAGUUGGUGAGGUAAAAGCUCACCAAGGCGACGAUGGGUAGCCGGCCUGAGAGGGUGAACGGCCACACUGGAACUGAGACACGGUCCAGACUCCUACGGGAGGCAGCAGUGGGGAAUAUUGCACAAUGGGGGAAACCCUGAUGCAGCGACGCCGCGUGAGUGAUGAAGGCUUUCGGGUCGUAAAGCUCUGUCCUAAGGGAAGAUAGUGACGGUACCUUAGGAGGAAGCCCCGGCUAACUACGUGCCAGCCGCCGCAGUAAAAC
rnacentral:rRNA from 1 species